CACGUAGGCUGUUAUGUAAGUCAGGGGUGAAAGCCCACGGCUCAACCGUGGAACUGCCCUUGAUACUGCACGACUCGAAUCCGGGAGAGGGUGGCGGAAUUCCAGGUGUAGGAGUGAAAUCCGUAGAUAUCUGGAGGAACAUCAGUGGCGAAGGCGGCCACCUGGACCGGUAUUGACGCCGAGGUGCGAAAGCGUGGGGAGCAAACA
rnacentral:rRNA from 1 species